AAAGGUAAUACUUUCAGGAAACCUUUAUCCUUUGGCGGCCUUUUUUCUUUUCAGAGGAAUUCGUCUAUUAAUCGAAAUUACCCGUUUAUUUUCUCUUUCUUUCGGUCAUUUAUACCGCCGUCUAAAUAAUAUAUUAAAAAAUCUAUUUUCAAUAAUCUUUUCUAAGUCAGGUCAAGGUGAAGAAAUAAAAAAGUUUAGAUAAAUUACUUAUUAACAUUAUUAAUGAAUUUCUAUCUAAAGCCAAAAAUGAAAUAGGAUUUGAAAGUAGGGUGAACGAAAAAAAAUAAUAAUUUCACCCGAAUAAGAGUUUAGGUGUACACAUCGCCCGUCGCUCUUA
rnacentral:rRNA from 1 species